CUUUCGACUGCAGUCCUCAGCUUAGCAUCAUGAUGGAGAAGAUCUUGCUGGGACUCGUGUUUCUUCUAGACUGGGUUGUCCUCUCCACCUGCCUCCUUCCUCAAUACUAUUUUGUUAAUAAAUUGUUAAAUUGGACUGAAGCUCAGACCUACUGCAGGCAGAGGCACACAGACCUGGCCACCAUCCUAAACUCUGAGCAACAGAACCAACUAAUUGCAACGCUUACAUCUGCUGGACACAGCUCUGACGUCUGGAUUGGUCUGUUCAGUAAAAUCGACUGGAAAUGGUCUGAUGGUUACACUGGGAGUGGAGCUGACUACAGAAACUGGCAUUUGAGUCAACCAUCAUGGUAUUAUGUUAAUGACGUAUGUGUAGGAUCACAUUACCAUGGGGGAUGGUUUGAUGCUACCUGCACAGAUCAUCGCCACUUUUUAUGUUACAAAGGCUCACACUUGGAUCCUGAAUUUGUUUAUGUGAGUACAACAAUGCCCUGGUCCAAUGCACAGACAUACUGCAGAGAAAAUUUUGUUGACAUGGCUAGUAUAAGAAAUGACACAGAGUACCAGCAAGUCCAGAGCCUGAUACCUUAUGGUCAUUAUCCAUGGAUUGGUCUAUAUAGAGAGCCAAAUCUUCAAUGGUCUAAUGGGAGCAGUGUCCUCUUUACCAGCUGGGAUACCAGUGGUAUUUUUAUUGGCUCAAUGAGAGUCAUAUGUGGUGCUACAUCUACUGGGAGAUCAGGAAAAUGGAAAAUGUUGUCCUGUGAAACAAGAUUACCAUUUGUCUGCAACGGUCCUCCUGUUACAAAACAGGUGGUGAGGCUUGGACUUCAUUUGGAGGACUAUGUGGAUCUGAAUGACCGUGUUCUAAGAGGAAGCAUCCUGAUGGAGGCAAGUUUGAAAUCAGGAU